CUCAACCCUUGGGAGGUAAUGAGGAAGAUCAGCAACACUGCAGCCUCCUUUGCCUCCUCAGUCAGGAAAUGGCACCCUGCUGCCCAGAGAAUCUACUUCAAGAAAGAAGACAACAGUUGAGGAAACAAGUUACUCUGCGAUGCUCCAUGACUUUAAUAAAAGCAAAAAGCAACAACCUGCUGGCCA